GUCAAAUGAAACCACUUAAUAUAAAACAGGCCUAAUCUUUCUAUAACGUCUUCCAGUCAGAACGCGAAUGAACAAGUUAAUAGCUAUUUUGCGGGUUAUUUUGCCUCAAGAAUGAGUCUAGUUUCGUUUUGUUUAAGUCGUGCACUAUAACUACAUUGGGAUUAUUAAAGUUGCAUGGAUCAGGCAAUAUUGGCACACUUAAAAAAUCGCUUUAGAAGGCAGAGAAAUAGGCGGGCACGCAAAUCAAUUGAAGGCUGUAAGAAAUAAUAGAGGUAUGAGAACGGAAAACAAUUCGUAUUCUGUCGUAUGUAAUUAUGAAUUGAAUAAC